rnacentral:rRNA from 1 species
GACGAACGCUGGCGGCGUGCCUAAUACAUGCAAGUAGAACGCUGAAGGAGGAGCUUGCUUCUCCGGAUGAGUUGCGAACGGGUGAGUAACGCGUAGGUAACCUGCCUGGUAGCGGGGGAUAACUAUUGGAAACGAUAGCUAAUACCGCAUAACAGUAGAUGUUGCAUGACAUUUGCUUAAAAGGUGCAAUUGCAUCACUACCAGAUGGACCUGCGUUGUAUUAGCUAGUUGGUGAGGUAACGGCUCACCAAGGCGACGAUACAUAGCCGGCCUGAGAUGGGGAUCGGCCACACUGGGACUGAGACACGGCCCAGACUCCUACGGGAGGCAGCAGUAGGGAAUCUUCGGCAAUGGACGGAAGUCUGACCGAGCAACGCCGCGUGAGUGAAGAAGGUUGUCGGAUCGUAAAGCUCUGUUGUAAGAGAAGAACGAGUGUGAGAGUGGAAAGUUCACACUGUGACGGUAUCUUACCAGAAAGGGACGGCUAACUACGUG